rnacentral:tRNA from 1 species
GAGGGUACAUCUCAGUGAUGGAGCGUGUGCUUACUAUGCACAACGUCCGGGUUCAAUCCCCAGUACCUCCA